UUUAGUCAGGCAACGAGCGAGACCCACGCCCACAGUUGCCAGCGUACUCUCUGGAGUGACGGGUACACUGUGGGGACCGCCGCUGCUAAAGCGGAGGAAGGAAUGGGCAACGGUAGGUCAGUAUGCCCCGAAUAUCCCGGGCUACACGCGAGCUACAAUGGUUGGUACAAUGGGUAUCUACCCCGAAAGGGGAUGGAAAUCUCCUAAAGCCAAUCUUAGUCCGGAUUGAGGGCUGCAACUCGCCCUCAUGAAGCUGGAAUCCGUAGUAAUCGCGUUUCAACAGAACGCGGUGAAUACGUCCCUGCUCCUUGCACA
rnacentral:rRNA from 1 species